rnacentral:rRNA from 1 species
GACGAACGCUGGCGGCGUGCCUAAUACAUGCAAGUAGAACGCUGAAGCUUGGUGCUUGCACCGAGCGGAUGAGUUGCGAACGGGUGAGUAACGCGUAGGUAACCUGCCUGGUAGCGGGGGAUAACUAUUGGAAACGAUAGCUAAUACCGCAUAACAGUAGAUAUCGCAUGAUAGCUACUUGAAAGGUGCAAAUGCACCACUACCAGAUGGACCUGCGUUGUAUUAGCUAGUUGGUGAGGUAACGGCUCACCAAGGCAACGAUACAUAGCCGACCUGAGAGGGUGAUCGGCCACACUGGGACUGAGACACGGCCCAGACUCCUACGGGAGGCAGCAGUAGGGAAUCUUCGGCAAUGGACGGAAGUCUGACCGAGCAACGCCGCGUGAGUGAAGAAGGUUGUCGGAUCGUAAAGCUCGGUUGUAAGAGAAGAACGAGGGUGAGAGUGGAAAGUUCACAAUGUGACGGUAUCUUACCAGAAAGGGACGGCUAACUACGUG